rnacentral:rRNA from 1 species
GACGAACCGUGCGAACGUUGUUCGGAAUCACUGGGCUUAAAGGGCGCGUAGGUGGUCUGUCAAGUCGGGGGUGAAAUCUUUCGGCUCAACCGGAAAACUGCCUUCGAUACUGGCAGGCUCGAGGGAGGUAGGGGUUGCGGGAACUACCAGUGGAGCGGUGAAAUGCGUUGAUAUUGGUAGGAACGCCGGUGGCGAAAGCGCGCAACUGGACCUCUUCUGACACUGAUGCGCGAAAGCUAGGGGAGCAAACGGG